rnacentral:rRNA from 1 species
UGCAGUCGACGGCAGCACGGAGCUUGCUCUGGUGGCGAGUGGCGAACGGGUGAGUAAUAUAUCGGAACGUACCCUAGAGUGGGGGAUAACGUAGCGAAAGUUACGCUAAUACCGCAUACGAUCUAAGGAUGAAAGUGGGGGAUCGCAAGACCUCAUGCUCGUGGAGCGGCCGAUAUCUGAUUAGCUAGUUGGUAGGGUAAAAGCCUACCAAGGCAUCGAUCAGUAGCUGGUCUGAGAGGNACGACCNAGCCNACACUGGAACUGAGACACGGUNCCAGACUCCUACGGGAGGCAGCAGUGGGGAAUUUUGGACAAUGGGCGAAAGCCUGAUCCAGCAAUGCCGCGUGAGUGAAGAAGGCCUUCGGGUUGUAAAGCUCUUUUGUCAGGGAAGAAACGGUGAGAGCUAAUAUCUYUUGCUAAUGACGGUACCUGAAGAAUAAGCACCGGCUAACUACGUGCCAGCAGCCGCGGUAAUACGUAGGGUGCAAGCGUUAAUCGGAAUUACUGGGCGUAAAGCGUGCGCAGGCGGUUUUGUAAGUCUGAUGUGAAAUCCCCGGGCUCAACCUGGGAAUUGCAUUGGAGACUGCAAGGCUAGAAUCUGGCAGAGGGGGGUAGAAUUCCACGUGUAGCAGUGAAAUGCGUAGAUAUGUGGAGGAACACCGAUGGCGAAGGCAGCCCCCUGGGUCAAGAUUGACGCUCAUGCACGAAAGCGUGGGGAGCAAACAGGAUUAGAUACCCUGGUAGUCCACGCCCUAAACGAUGUCUACUAGUUGUCGGGUCUUAAUUGACUUGGUAACGCAGCUAACGCGUGAAGUAGACCGCCUGGGGAGUACGGUCGCAAGAUUAAAACUCAAAGGAAUUGACGGGGACCCGCACAAGCGGUGGAUGAUGUGGAUUAAUUCGAUGCAACGCGAAAAACCUUACCUACCCUUGACAUGGCUGGAAUCCUUGAGAGAUUGAGGAGUGCUCGAAAGAGAACCAGUACACAGGUGCUGCAUGGCUGUCGUCAGCUCGUGUCGUGAGAUGUUGGGUUAAGUCCCGCAACGAGCGCAACCCUUGUCAUUAGUUGCUACGAAAGGGCACUCUAAUGAGACUGCCGGUGACAAACCGGAGGAAGGUGGGGAUGACGUCAAGUCCUCAUGGCCCUUAUGGGUAGGGCUUCACACGUCAUACAAUGGUACAUACAGAGCGCCGCCAACCCGCGAGGGGGAGCUAAUCGCAGAAAGUGUAUCGUAGUCCGGAUUGUAGUCUGCAACUCGACUGCAUGAAGUUGGAAUCGCUAGUAAUCGCGGAUCAGCAUGU